rnacentral:rRNA from 1 species
CGGACGGGUGAGUAAUGUCUGGGAAACUGCCCGAUGAGGGGGAGUAACUACUGGAAACGGUAGCUAAUACCGCAUAACGUCGCAAGACCAAAGAGGGGGACCUUCGGGCCUCUUGCCAUCGGAUGUGCCCAGAUGGGAUUAGCUAGUAGGUGGGGUAACGGCUCACCUAGGCGACGAUCCCUAGCUGGUCUGAGAGGAUGACCAGCCACACUGGGACUGAGACACGGCCCAG